GGCUCCGUAGCUCAGCUGGUAGAGCGUGUGUACAAAGCGUGGGCGGUGUCCAUGCGUGGGUUCGAAUCCCACCGAGGCUA
rnacentral:tRNA from 1 species